rnacentral:lncRNA from 1 species
AGCCCAGGACUAUCCCAAGCUGCCACCAGUCUGAGCACAACAGUGACCAUGGCCUCCCUUUGUUCUCUGAACUCCAGUGGACCCACACCUCUAAGCCCCACCCCCUCCCCCGUGACCCCGCCUCCUCGUAGCACAGAUAGCCCCACCCCUUCUGUCCACAACACAUUGAGUCUCAACACAGGCUUGUGGCGUCUGGGCAAAAAGAACGGUUUCGGGUCACACAGCAGCCCCGACUUUGCCACAAACUUGAGGUGAAUACAUGGAGUGUAUAAGUUCACACACACACACACACACGCAUACACACACAUGCACAAGACAUACUCACUAAGAUAAAGCGAAUUGAGAAUUACACAGUAACUUCUGCCAGUGUUAGAGUCGAGUCAC